GACGAACGCUGGCGGCGUGCCUAACACAUGCAAGUCGAACGGAAGUAAGUGCUUCGGUAUUUACUUUAGUGGCGAACGGGUGAGUAACGCGUGAGGAACCUGCCUUUCAGUGGGGGACAACAGUUGGAAACGACUGCUAGUACCGCAUGAUGCAGCUGGGUCGCGUGACCCUGGCUGCCAAAGAUUUAUCGCUCUGAGAUGGCCUCGCGUCUGAUUAGCUGGUUGGCGGGGUAACGGCCCACCAAGGCGACGAUCAGUAGCCGGACUGAGAGGUUGACCGGCCACAUUGGGACUGAGACACGGCCCAG
rnacentral:rRNA from 1 species